rnacentral:rRNA from 1 species
AGAUUGAACGCUAGCGGGAUGCUUUACACAUGCAAGUCGAACGGCAGCGCGGACUUCGGUCUGGCGGCGAGUGGCGAACGGGUGAGUAAUAUAUCGGAACGCGCCCAGUAGCGGGGAUAACUACGCGAAAGCGUGGCUAAUACCGCAUACGCCCGUACGGGGGAAAGGGGGGAUCGCAAGACCUCUCACUAUUGGAGCGGCCGAUAUCAGAUUAGCUAGUUGGUGAGGUAAGGCUCACCAAGGCGACGAUCUGUAGCGUGGUUUGAGAGGACGACCAGCCACACGUGGGACUGACGACCACCGGCCCAGACCUCCGUACGGGAGCAGCAGGUAGGG